ACCUGACUGCUAUCGGAUUGGUACUAAGCCAUGUGAGUCGUUGUAGCAAUACAAGGCAUACGGCUCAGUAACACGUAGUCAAUCUAACCUAUGGACGGGGAUAACCUCGGGAAACUGAGGAUAAAACCCGAUAGAUCAUAAUGCCUGGAACGGUUUAUGGUCCAAAUGAUUUAUCGCCGUAGGAUGGGACUGCGGCCUAUCAGUUUGUUGGUGAGGUAAUGGCCCACCAAGACUAUUACAGGUACGGGCUCUGAGAGGAGUGGCCCGGAGAUGGGUACUGAAACACGGACCCAGGCCCUAUGGGGCGCAGCAGGCGAGAAAACUUUGCAAUGUGCGAAAGCACGACAAGGUUAAUCCGAGUGUUUCCUGCUAAAGGAAUCUUUUGUUAGUCGUAAAACCACUAUCGAAUAAGGGGUGGGCAAGUUCUGGUGUCAGCCGCCGCGGUAAAACCAGCACCUCAAGUGGUCAGGAGGGUUAUUGGGCCUAAAGCAUCCGUAGCCUGCUUUGUAAGUUUUCGGUUAAAUCCAUAUGCUCAACAUAUGGGCUGCCGGGAAUACUGCAUAGCUAGGGAGUGGGAGAGGUAGACGGUACUCCGUAGGAAGGGGUAAAAUCCUUUGAUCUAUGGAUGACCACCUGUGGCGAAGGCGGUCUACCAGAACACGUCCGACGGUGAGGGAUGAAAGCUGGGGGAGCAAACCGGAUUAGAUACCCGGGUAGUCCCAGCUGUAAACUAUGCAAACUCAGUGAUGCAUUGACUUAUGGUCAAUGCAGCGUUGCAGGGAAGCCGUUAAGUUUGCCGCCUGGGAAGUACGUACGCAAGUAUGAAACUUAA
rnacentral:rRNA from 1 species